UCGCUCCUACCGAUUUGAGUGGUCCGGUGAAGCCUCGGGAUUGUGACCAGUUUCCUUUAUUGGGAGUUGGUUGCGAGAACUUGUCUAAACCUUAUCAUUUAGAGGAAGGUG
rnacentral:rRNA from 1 species